rnacentral:rRNA from 1 species
ACGCUCGACACCUACGGGGGGCAGCAGUUGGGAAUAUUGGACAAUGGAGGAAACUCUGAUCCAGUGACGCCGCGUGAAGGAAGAAGGUCUUCGGAUUGUAAACUUAUUUUGUCAGGGAAGAAAAAAUGACUGUACCUGAAGAAAAAGCACCGGCUAACUACGUGCCAGCAGCCGCGGUAAUCUGAGCGGGCUGGCAAGGC